UCGUUAAUCAUCACUGUAAUCAGCAGCACGUCUUUAUGUAUGAUCAGCAGUUGCCGUAUAACAAAAACUUUGCUGCGUUGCAUUUUACUGCUUGCAGAACACGUGUUGGACUCGAUUUUGCUAGUGAUCUUGUGAUUGUUUCAUAGUUUGUUGUUCAUACUAAAAGUUGUGCUAAAAAAUAUAGAUAACUAGGGGAAAAGAUACCACUGCCUUAUUUAUCUAUUGCUUCAGAUCAUGCCUUGACUUUAUUAUAAAAAGUGUGCAUUUUUGUAGUGCGAAAAUCGUAACGGGAAUCCGGAUGUGAGGUUCCACAUGUUUCCUCAUGGUGCGAUUAUGUUUCAACACUGGAUGGACGUUGUGAAUAAUCUAGCAUUGUCUAAAUUAGCUCAUACUACUGUUAUUCGGUAUGCAAUAACCAUAUUAUAGUAUCUCAAUUACAAACUCCCGAAAGGAAGACUCUGCUGACAAAAGCUAUUCCCAAAAGUUUUAUAGCUCCUAACAUUUGCAUGCCAUCGGCUAGUUAUUCGGAGACACAUCCGCACACAGGUAAAGAAACUUCCCUGAUGAUUCUACUUCUGUCGAACAGGAACAAGAAUCAACUUUUUCGAUGCCUACGCAUAAUGUAGAUAGUGAAAUCGGUUUACCGCUGCAUGUGAGAAGCGAAUUGCUUCAUUCGAUUGGAGUAACCAGCAGGAACAAAAUGACCCCAAGGAAACAACUUCUAUUUCACAAGCUAUGCAGCAUGAGGAGGACAUUGAAACGUUAUGAGCAUAAUUGGAAGAGUUGCAGGAAAGACGUAUUCGGGGUAAAGAAUGUAAGUAAUCUUUUAAACAAUAAAACUUAGAAUUGUUUAGAAUAUGAUAGAAGAUAUUUUUCCUAUUGCAGCUACGUCAAAAAGGUUUAAUGGAAUUCUUAAACAUUUCAAUAAUUUGUUGCCCUUUGCAUGACGAAUAUAUGUAAUAAUUCCGGCAGUUUCGGAAUGUAUUAUUUAUAAUAUGUGAAAAUAUAUUUUGCUUCUAAUAAAUCGAAAAUUAAGCCGCAGAAAGAUAGCCGCGACAAUGCUAUAGUGG